GCCCGUGUAGCUCAGCGGUAGAGCAUUGUACUUAUGAGGAUAUCUGACCAUGCAAGGGUCUCGAGUUCGAAUCUCGGCAUGGGCA
rnacentral:tRNA from 1 species